GUCUCAGCUUUGCCAACUGGCUUAGAUCAAGUGUAGUAUCUGUUCUUUUCAGUUUAAUCGUGAGUGUCACAUCCAGAGCUGGCCUGUUCAUUGACCUGGGCUAACAACUCUCGCAGUCUGAAAUGUCACUACGGUGACAAACAUUGAUUAAAUUUAUUUUUGAACCUCGCUCGAGACUCUCUGUGCUUGCACAGAAGUCUCUUGCACCGUGUCCGAGGCCUUACACUGCCGCCUUGUGACGCGAACAACA
rnacentral:snRNA from 1 species